rnacentral:lncRNA from 1 species
UUUGGGUACUGGGUUUCGAUCAGAGCAGGGGGAACCGGGGAAGAACAAGCAAACCCUUGUUUGCAAAAUUCCAGCAAUAUACUUGAAAUCUCAAGGAGAAUCUAAUGCAUGAGCCUCUAUUUUCGAGUAUCUAACCCUAAUUAGUGAAGUGGUAAGUUUUAUUUUCUGAAAUUAUGAUUUGUAGGAUGAGGGUUACAACCCAAUCUCGAAUUCUUGUAACAAAUGUGGCGUGAAAGAAGAAGGCUCAAACACUAAGAAAACGGGAGACUCACAGGAUCGAGGUAAAUCCUCAAGCUAGGCGGUCGGACGAUUUGGAAUGAGCACACUUGAUCUACGCCCACUACACGCUUCCGUCAUAAGUGAAUAUAAUGUGGUCUAAACUUUUGGUCUUAUGUACUUUAACUUGUGUAGUAUUUUGAUGUCUUUAUGGUUUGGUUAAAAACUUAUUAGUGGUAGUCUUGUUGUAAACAACUUAAACGUAUGGUUUUGGGUUUUUGUCAAGGAUGUUUUAUGUAGAAAUGGUUUAUCGUAUAAAACAGGUGUUAGUG